rnacentral:rRNA from 1 species
GGACUACAAGGGUUUCUAAUCCUGUUUGAUCCCCACGCUUUCGAGCCUAAGUGUCAAUGUUGGGCCAGAUACCCGCCUUCGCCACCGGAGUUCCACCUGAUAUCUACGUAUUUCACCACUACACCAGGUAUUCCAGUAUCCUCUCCCACAUUCAAGUCUUGCAGUAUCAAAAGCACUUCCAGGGUUAAGCCCUGGGCUUUCACUCCUGACUUACAAGACCACCCGCGCUCGCUUUACGCCCAAUGAUUCCGAGCAACGCUUGCACCCUUCGUAUUACCGCGGCUGCUGGCAC